CUUCUCCACUUCUCGGGGCCGACGAGAUCGUCACCACCACCACUACUCCCUUCGAUUUGUCGCACUAUUCAUCACCACUACAGUCACCGACGUGCUCGCCACUAACCACCACCACCGAGGCGCUCGUCACCACCACCACUCCGUCAAGAAACAAAGAGCGUCCUUUUUGAAUCGAAAAGAGAGAAGGAAAGUGAGAAGAUUUGAGAUCUGAAGCCAGUCAACGAAUCUAUCAAGGUCUUUUCCUUACGAAUCUGGAUUUCUUCGUGUUAGAGAAGGUGGAGGAGGCUGACGAAAGCUUGAUGGUGAUGGUUUCAAGGUCAACAUUGAUGGCUGAGUGUGAUGGUUUGCUAUAUGGAACUUGAUGGAGGAGAAGGUACGGCAAUGUCGGAGCUCUGUAGCGAUGGAGAUGGCGGUGACGACAAAGUACAACAACCACAAAAAGAAGAAGGAAGGCACGGUUUAGAUUUAGGUUUUACAUUUUUGGUAAAUUAGGUUUUGGUUAAUUAAGUUUGGUUUAAUGUGUUUGAGUUAGCUUUUUGGUUUAAUUUUUUUUUAGAUUUAGUUUUUAAACCCGGUUUGGGUUAAUUUGUAAACCAAAAAAUUUGUAAUCUGGUUUAAUUUUUAAACCAAAAUCAAUUGUAAAUCGAAAUCAUUUAUAAACCGGUUUAAUCUAUAUACAGUA